rfam:Gaeumannomyces graminis var. tritici R3-111a-1 mitochondrial scaffold supercont1.515, whole genome shotgun sequence.
AUGAUAAGGUUGUAUGUACAGCCUUUUUGUGGAAGUGAACCUUCUGCUACAAAUCGUCAAAUUGCGGGAACACCCUAAAGCAAUCAUAACCAAGCAAGAGUGGUAACACAUCUUGUGGCACAGGUAAUGACUCGUGGUAAGGUAAAAUCAUGGUUGAUAUUAAUGGGUUAUCCGCAGCCAAGCGUCUGUUAAUAAUUAUUAAUAAACAGAUGUGCAGUUCAUCGACUAAAUGGUGAUUGGUGUUAUAGAUAGAUAUUGAUAUAAUGCUUAAGAUAUAGUCAGGCCUCAUUCGAAAGAAUGCA